UCGAGCGGAGCAGAAGCUCCGCUCUUUUAUCGAAAGACUUACUAUCUAACAAUAGAAAACAGUACCAACUUCGUACAAAAAAUGAUAUAAUAUACGAGCCUUUAGACGGCUUGCAGUACGUAGGGGUCCUGCGCAAUAGGGUGCCGUGAACCUUGUCAGGUCCGAGAGGAAGCAGCAAUAAGCGGUUAACACUAUGUGUUGCAGAUAAGCCUCUGCGUGCUGCAAACCGCCUAAGGGUUUUUUAUUAGAUUAGA
rnacentral:SRP_RNA from 1 species